UUUCAAUUAAUAGUAUAGAAAAGAUACUUGCUGUGAGUGGAGAUGUGGAUGCUGAUGAAGUUCGAUUGGUUGUGGGCAAACUAAGCAAGCGUGACAUGCUGUAACGAAAUGCUGAGCUCUGGUAAACUCAGCCAUGAUGGAUUUCCAGAAAAUGACAAGGGUAUGCAGAGUUUGUAGCUGGAGCAAUUUGGAACAUCACAUGUAAUUUCUUUA